GAAGAUGAUGCAUGUGAGCCCUGCCCUUGGGAAGCUUCCAGGUUGGGAAAUGAGGAAUGAGCCUGACACCCAGGGCCCAGAGAGACCCAGGACAGAGGCAGGUCAGGAGGCAGACACGCGCUGCUGGGUAAUGACGACAGCACCAGUAAUCACGGCUACUCCUUGUUAAGUACUUACUAAGUGCAAGACUCCAAGCUAAGCAAUUAAUAGACCUUUUCUUGUUUAAUCCUUACCACAAUUCCAUAGGGUUGAGUAGGAAGUCCUUCUUGAAGUCUAAUCUCAAGAAUUCAUGCCAUGGAUUGGGCCAAUGUUCCACCUUUAUUGGAGUCUGGGGACUUAGGUGGAAAAGGCAGAACUGGCUGGUUGGAGGAGCCACCUCCCUGCAAGGGGCCAGGAGGGAGAUUACGGAGGCGCCAAGCCCAGAGCUCCAACAUGCACCUGCCACAGCUCCAGGGGAGAUCGGGGGCCUGCCAAUUUACCCCGCCCCAUGAUCUCAUGGCUGUGUGCGCCAGGCACUGGCUCAGGGAGCAGCAUCUCACAGAGAAGAUACUUGGAUGGGCCACAGGCCAAAACUGGGCCAAAACCCUGGAGAGGGGGACCUGGCUCAAGGCCACACCACAUUUCCAUGUCAUUUUCCAGUGGCACCAACUGAGCUGGACAGAUGUUCUCACAGAGCUACACAUGCCACAGUCAUCACUAGUUGCGAGAGUCUCCAGUGUUCAUUAAGCCUAUUUUGCUGGAAGUUUAGUCCCUGGAGGAUUAGUCCCUGCCCUUAAGGAGUGCCAAAGAAGACUUUGGAAUCUAAGUCACAUCUCCCCUGCUGCAAUUUUUUCCUCUUGAUAAUCAAGGAAUCUCACUGAUAAAACUCUCAAUGAGGAGCAGCUCUCCCCAUGAGCAAGUUCUUGCCUUCAUUGCCAGGGAGGCCCCAGCUAAGGUUAUACUGGGAAAGGAAUCUCUGGGGAGUACCUGGAAGAGGUCAGCUUCUCCUCAAAGGAAGCCUCUCCAGCUGGUGUACUGCAAAGCCUUCCAAGACCAAGUUCCCUCUUCCUGGCCUCUGGAACCAGCCUGUGUGCCAGCGCUGUGUCCCCAGUAACACACAUGAGUCUCUCCCUCAGAAGCCACAGAAGGAUGCAGAGAGAGACCAACCCAGGAUUGAUUCUCAGCACUUACUAAUUGUGUGGACAUAACUGCUCUGGACCUCAGCUUUGCUAUCUAUAAAAUGAGCACCCUUUUUAUAGAUAUGAACACUUUAAGAGA
rnacentral:lncRNA from 1 species